CGGGAUGUAGCGCAGUUGGUAGCGCACCACGUUCGGGACGUGGGGGUCGCAGGUUCGAGUCCUGUCAUCCCGA
rnacentral:tRNA from 1 species